rnacentral:rRNA from 1 species
UACGCAGGGGGCUAGCGUUGCUCGGAAUUACUGGGCGUAAAGCGCACGUAGGCGUCUCGUUAAGUCGGUGGUGAAAUCCUGGAGCUCAACUCCAGAACUGCCUUCGAUACUGGCGAGCUUGAGUUCGGGAGAGGUGAGUGGAACUGCGAGUGUAGAGGUGAAAUUCGUAGAUAUUCGCAAGAACACCAGUGGCGAAGGCGGCUCACUGGCCCGAUACUGACGCUGAGGUGCGAAAGCGUGGGGAGCAAACAGG